rnacentral:rRNA from 1 species
GAUGAACGCUGGCGGCGUGCCUAAUACAUGCAAGUCGAGCGAACAGACGAGGAGCUUGCUCCUCUGACGUUAGCGGCGGACGGGUGAGUAACACGUGGAUAACCUCCCUAUAAGACUGGGAUAACUUCGGGAAACCGGAGCUAAUACCGGAUAAUAUAUUGAACCGCAUGGUUCAAUAGUGAAAGACGGUUUUGCUGUCACUUAUAGAUGGAUCCGCGCCGCAUUAGCUAGUUGGUAAGGUAACGGCUUACCAAGGCAACGAUGCGUAGCCGACCUGAGAGGGUGAUCGGCCACACUGGAACUGAGACACGGUCCAGACUCCUACGGGAGGCAGCAGUAGGGAAUCUUCCGCAAUGGGCGAAAGCCUGACGGAGCAACGCCGCGUGAGUGAUGAAGGUCUUCGGAUCGUAAAACUCUGUUAUUAGGGAAGAACAAAUGUGUAAGUAACUAUGCACGUCUUGACGGUACCGAAUCAGAAAGCCACGGCUAACUACGUG